CCUACGGGUGGCAGCAGUGAGGAAUAUUGGUCAAUGGACGCAAGUCUGAACCAGCAAUGCCGCGUGCAGGAAGAAGGCUCUAUGAGUUGUAAACUGCUUUUGUACGAGGGUAAACGCAGAUACGCGCAUCUGUCUGAAAGUAUCGUACGAAUAAGGAUCGGCUAACGCCGUGCCAGCAGCCGCGGUAAUACGGAGGAUUCAAGCGUUAUCCGGCUUUAUUGGGUUUAAUGGGUGCGUAGGCGGACGGCUAAGUUAGAGGUGAAAUCCCGAGGCUCAACUUCGGAAUUGCCUAUGAUACUGUUCGCCUAGAGUGUAGUUGCGGUAGUCGGAAUGUAUGGUGUAGCGGU
rnacentral:rRNA from 1 species